rnacentral:rRNA from 1 species
AGAGUUUGAUCAUGGCUCAGAUUGAACGCUGGCGGCAGGCCUAACACAUGCAAGUCGAGCGGUAGCACAGAGAGCUUGCUCUCGGGUGACGAGCGGCGGACGGGUGAGUAAUGUCUGGGAAACUGCCUGAUGGAGGGGGAUAACUACUGGAAACGGUAGCUAAUACCGCAUAACGUCGCAAGACCAAAGUGGGGGACCUUCGGGCCUCAUGCCAUCAGAUGUGCCCAGAUGGGAUUAGCUAGUAGGUGGGGUAACGGCUCACCUAGGCGACGAUCCCUAGCUGGUCUGAGAGGAUGACCAGCCACACUGGAACUGAGACACGGUCCAGACUCCUACGGGAGGCAGCAGUGGGGAAUAUUGCACAAUGGGCGCAAGCCUGAUGCAGCCAUGCCGCGUGUGUGAAGAAGGCCUUCGGGUUGUAAAGCACUUUCAGCGGGGAGGAAGGCGNUCGAUUGACGUUACCCGCAGAAGAAGCACCGGCUAACUCCGUGCCAGCAGCCGCGGUAAUACGGAGGGUGCAAGCGUUAAUCGGAAUUACUGGGCGUAAAGCGCACGCAGGCGGUCUGUCAAGUCGGAUGUGAAAUCCCCGGGCUCAACCUGGGAACUGCAUUCGAAACUGGCAGGCUAGAGUCUUGUAGAGGGGGGUAGAAUUCCAGGUGUAGCGGUGAAAUGCGUAGAGAUCUGGAGGAAUACCGGUGGCGAAGGCGGCCCCCUGGACAAAGACUGACGCUCAGGUGCGAAAGCGUGGGGAGCAAACAGGAUUAGAUACCCUGGUAGUCCACGCCGUAAACGAUGUCGAUUUGGAGGUUGUGCCCUUGAGGCGUGGCUUCCGGAGCUAACGCGUUAAAUCGACCGCCUGGGGAGUACGGCCGCAAGGUUAAAACUCAAAUGAAUUGACGGGGGCCCGCACAAGCGGUGGAGCAUGUGGUUUAAUUCGAUGCAACGCGAAGAACCUUACCUGGUCUUGACAUCCACAGAACUUUCCAGAGAUGGAUUGGUGCCUUCGGGAACUGUGAGACAGGUGCUGCAUGGCUGUCGUCAGCUCGUGUUGUGAAAUGUUGGGUUAAGUCCCGCAACGAGCGCAACCCUUAUCCUUUGUUGCCAGCGGUUCGGCCGGGAACUCAAAGGAGACUGCCAGUGAUAAACUGGAGGAAGGUGGGGAUGACGUCAAGUCAUCAUGGCCCUUACGACCAGGGCUACACACGUGCUACAAUGGCAUAUACAAAGAGAAGCGACCUCGCGAGAGCAAGCGGACCUCAUAAAGUAUGUCGUAGUCCGGAUUGGAGUCUGCAACUCGACUCCAUGAAGUCGGAAUCGCUAGUAAUCGUAGAUCAGAAUGCUACGGUGAAUACGUUCCCGGGCCUUGUACACACCGCCCGUCACACCAUGGGAGUGGGUUGCAAAAGAAGUAGGUAGCUUAACCUUCGGGAGGGCGCUUACCACUUUGUGAUUCAUGACUGGGGUGAAGUCGUAACAAGGUAACCGUAGGGGAACCUGCGGUUG